rnacentral:rRNA from 1 species
UACGUAGGGGGCAAGCGUUGUCCGGAUUUAUUGGGCGUAAAGGGUGCGUAGGCGGCGCGGUAAGUCGGGUGUGAAAUCUCGGAGCUUAACUCCGAAACUGCAUUCGAUACUGCCGUGCUUGAGGACUGGAGAGGAGACUGGAAUUUACGGUGUAGCGGUGAAAUGCGUAGAUAUCGUAAGGAAGACCAGUGGCGAAGGCGGGUCUCGUGGACAGUUCCUGACGCUGAGGCACGAAGGUCAGGGGAGCAAACGGG